UACAGAGGUCCCAAGCGUUGUUCGGAUUCAUUGGGCGUAAAGGGUGCGUAGGCGGCGCGGUAAGUCGGGUGUGAAAUUCGUAGGCUUAACUCCGAAACUGCAUUCGAUACUGCCGUGCUUGAGGACUGGAGAGGAGACUGGAAUUCAUGGUGUAGCAGUGAAAUGCGUAGAGAUCAUGAGGAAGACCAGUGGCGAAGGCGGGUCUCUGGACAGUUCCUGACACUGAGACACGAAGGCCAGGGGAGCAAACAGG
rnacentral:rRNA from 1 species